rnacentral:rRNA from 1 species
UACGGAGGGUGCGAGCGUUGUCCGGAAUCACUGGGCGUAAAGGGUGCGUAGGCGGGGCUUUAAGUCAGGGGGGAAAUCCUGGAGCUCAACUCCAGAACUGCCUUUGAUACUGAGGAUCUUGAGUUCGGGAGAGGUGAGUGGAACUGCGAGUGUAGAGGUGAAAUUCGUAGAUAUUCGCAAGAACACCAGUGGCGAAGGCGGCUCACUGGCCCGAUACUGACGCUGAGGCACGAAAGCGUGGGGAGCAAACAGG